UACGUAGGGGGCGAACGUUGUCCGGAAUUAUUGGGCGUAAAGCGCGUGUAGGUGGUUUUGUAAGUCAAAUGUCAAAUCCCCGGGCUCAACCCGGGUUCGCAUUUGAUACUGCAAGACUCGAGAAAUGUAGAGGGAAGCGGAACUACCGGUGUAGCGGUGAAAUGCGUAGAUAUCGGUAGGAACACCAGUGGCGAAGGCGGCUUCCUGGACAUUUUCUGACACUGAGACGCGAGAGCUAGGGGAGCAAACGGGAUUAGAUACCCCGGUAGUCCUAGCUGUAAACGAUGGUCACUAGGUGUAGGAGGUAUCGACCCCUUCUGUGCCGUAGCUAACGCGUUAAGUGACCCGCCUGGGGAGUACGGCCGCAAGGCUAAA
rnacentral:rRNA from 1 species